AGCAGCCGCGGUAAUUCCAGCUCCAAUAGCGUAUAUUAAAGUUGUUGCAGUUAAAAGCUCGUAGUUGAAUUUCGGGAUCAGUAUGUUGGUCGUGCUUCGGUACGUACUGUCAUUACUGGUUUCUACCUUCUGAAGAACCUUGAUGUCAUUAAUUUGGUGUCUUGGGGGAAUCAGGACUGUUACUUUGAAAAAAUUAGAGUGUUUAAAGCAAGCAUACGCUUGAAUACAUUAGCAUGGAAUAAUGAAAUAGGACGUUUGAUUCUAUUUUGUUGGUUUCUAGGAUCGACGUAAUGAUUAAUAGGGAUAGUUGGGGGCAUUAGUAUUCAAUUGUCAGAGGUGAAAUUCUUGGAUUUAUUGAAGACUAACUACUGCGAAAGCAUUUGCCAAGGAUGUUUUCAUUAAUCAAUGAACGAAAGUUAGGGGAUCGAAGACGAUCAGAUACCGUCGUAGUCUUAACCAUAAACUAUGCCGACUAGGGAUCGGGUGAUGUUAUUUUUAAUGACUCAUUCGGCGCCUUACG
rnacentral:misc_RNA from 1 species